rnacentral:rRNA from 1 species
GUGGGGAAUAUUGGGCAAUGGGGGAAACCCUGACCCAGCAACGCCGCGUGAGGGAAGAAGGUUUUCGGAUUGUAAACCUCUGUCCUUGGUGACGAAGGAAGUGACGGUAACCAAGGAGGAAGCCCCGGCUAACUACGUGCCAGCAGCCGCGGUAAUACGUAGGGGGCAAGCGUUGUCCGGAAUGACUGGGCGUAAAGGGCGUGUAGGCGGCCGAUUAAGUCUGGAGUGAAAGUCCUGCUUUCAAGGUGGGAAUUGCUUUGGAGACUGGUUGGCUUGAGUGCGGAAGAGGUAAGUGGAAUUCCCAGUGUAGCGGUGAAAUGCGUAGAGAUUGGGAAGAACACCAGUGGCGAAGGCGACUUACUGGGCCGUAACUGACGUUGAUGCGCGAAAGCGUGGGGAGCGAACAGGAUUAGAAACCCCGGUAGUCC